GAUGAAGAACGUAGCGAAAUGCGAUAAGUAAUGUGAAUUGCAGAAUUCAGUGAAUCAUCGAAUCUUUGAACGCACAUUGCGCCCGCCAGUAUUCUGGCGGGCAUGCCUGUCCGAGCGUCAUUUCAACCCUCAAGCCCCCGGGCUUGGUGUUGGAGAUCGGCGAGCCCCCCGGGGCGCGCCGUCUCCCAAAUAUAGUGGCGGUCCCGCUGUAGCUUCCUCUGCGUAGUAGCGCACCUCGCACUGGGAAACAGCGUGGCCACGCCGUAAAACCCCCCACUUCUGAAAGGUUGACCUCGGAUCAGGUAGGAAUACCCGCUGAACAUAAGCAUAUCAAUAAGCGGAGGA
rnacentral:misc_RNA from 1 species